rnacentral:rRNA from 1 species
GAUGAACGCUGGCGGCGUGCCUAAUACAUGCAAGUCGAGCGAACGGACGAGAAGCUUGCUUCUCUGAUGUUAGCGGCGGACGGGUGAGUAACACGUGGAUAACCUACCUAUAAGACUGGGAUAACUUCGGGAAACCGGAGCUAAUACCGGAUAAUAUUUUGAACCGCAUGGUUCAAAAGUGAAAGACGGUCUUGCUGUCACUUAUAGAUGGAUCCGCGCUGCAUUAGCUAGUUGGUAAGGUAACGGCUUACCAAGGCAACGAUGCAUAGCCGACCUGAGAGGGUGAUCGGCCACACUGGAACUGAGACACGGUCCAGACUCCUACGGGAGGCAGCAGUAGGGAAUCUUCCGCAAUGGGCGAAAGCCUGACGGAGCAACGCCGCGUGAGUGAUGAAGGUCUUCGGAUCGUAAAACUCUGUUAUUAGGGAAGAACAUAUGUGUAAGUAACUGUGCACAUCUUGACGGUACCUAAUCAGAAAGCCACGGCUAACUACGUGCCAGCAGCCGCGGUAAUACGUAGGUGGCAAGCGUUAUCCGGAAUUAUUGGGCGUAAAGCGCGCGUAGGCGGUUUUUUAAGUCUGAUGUGAAAGCCCACGGCUCAACCGUGGAGGGUCAUUGGAAACUGGAAAACUUGAGUGCAGAAGAGGAAAGUGGAAUUCCAUGUGUAGCGGUGAAAUGCGCAGAGAUAUGGAGGAACACCAGUGGCGAAGGCGACUUUCUGGUCUGUAACUGACGCUGAUGUGCGAAAGCGUGGGGAGCAAACAGGAUUAGAUACCCUGGUAGUCCACGCCGUAAACGAUGAGUGCUAAGUGUUGGUCUCAUAAGAGAUCAGUGCUGCAGCUAACGCAUUAAGCACUCCGCCUGGGGAGUACGACCGCAAGGUUGAAACUCAAAGGAAUUGACGGGGACCCGCACAAGCGGUGGAGCAUGUGGUUUAAUUCGAAGCAACGCGAAGAACCUUACCAAGUCUUGACAUACUGUGAGGACACAAGAGAUUGUGUUGUUCUGACCUUUGGUUAGACACAGAUACAGGUGGUGCAUGGUUGUCGUCAGCUCGUGUCGUGAGAUGUUGGGUUAAGUCCCGCAACGAGCGCAACCCUUAUAUCUAGUUGCCAGCAGUAAGAUGGGGACUCUAGAUAGACUGCCAGUGAUAAACUGGAGGAAGGUGGGGAUGACGUCAAAUCAUCAUGCCCCUUAUGACUUGGGCUACACACGUGCUACAAUGGAUAGGAACAAAGAGAAGCGAGCUCGCGAGAGUAAGCAAACCUCACAAAACUAUUCUCAGUUCGGAUUGUAGUCUGCAACUCGACUACAUGAAGCUGGAAUCGCUAGUAAUCGCGAAUCAGAAUGUCGCGGUGAAUACGUUCCCGGGUCU